AAGAGCAUUUGAUGGAUGCCUUGGUGGUAGGAGGCGAUGAAGGACGUAACAGGCUGCGAUAAGCUGUGGGGAGGUGCCAAUAACCUUUGAUCCGCAGAUUUCCGAAUGGGGAAACUCGCCGAGUUUACUCGGCAUUCUAAGAUGAAUCAAU
rnacentral:rRNA from 1 species